rnacentral:lncRNA from 1 species
UAUCUAAACUCAUUGGAGUUUCCAGGUCUACCGGCGCAUAAACUACGUCUGAAAGUGGGUGUCCCAGUCAUGCUCCUUCGUAAUCUGAACCAAAAAGAAGGCUUAUGUAACGGCACAAGACUAAUAGUGACACACUUGGGGGAAAAGGUUAUUAAGACAGAAAUGCUCACAUCAACAACCAAGAGAGAUCCUAUACUGCUACCACGGAUCAUAUUGUCACCACCAGAAUCCAACCAUCCAUUCACCUUGAAGCGACGCCAGUUUCCGAUAAGGGUUUGUUAUGCGAUGACAAUAAAUAAAAGCCAAGGCCAGACUUUGUCACACGUCUCUCUAUACUUGCCUAAACCAGUCUUCAGCCAUGGUCAGCUAUACGUGGCACUGUCAAGAGUUACAACACCCAAAGGACUCAAAAUUUUAGACUUGAACAGAGAUGGGGAAAGUAGAACGAUAUCUAACAUAGUCUACAGAGAAGCCUACAACGGACUGCCUCAAUCUACCGGUAUGUUAUCUUCUAUCUCCACCUACGCGUUAUGCGUCUCCUUAUGCUUUCCAAUAUUAUAUAAAACACUUAGGUUCGAAGCAAAUCAGAUUAACUAACACAACCUCAAAUCUUAAAUCAGACAAUCAGAUAUUCAGUUUAAACGUCCGUGUUUACUUAGGUUCAUCAAAGAUGACAAACUAAAGGUUCAUCUGUAAAAACAUUAAGAAAGAAAAUCAAAGAGUUUAAGAUUCACUGAGAAACUAACAUGAAAAAAACAACUUUGAGAACGGCACAGACAUCACGAAUUGUGCAGUCAAAGCUUAAUAAAGUACAGCAUUUUUGAGUCCCCUUAUACUUAGUGAAAAAAACCCCGAAAAUCCAAACCUUCUCUGUUGCAGGUUCAGACGAUGACGAAACAUCAAAGGAUCAAUGCGUACGGCUUGAUGCGGACUCUGCCUAAGCUAAUGUAAGCAACUUCUUUUUCAAAUACGCUUUAGAACAAUUUUCGUAACCCAAACUCACCGCCUUAAACGCCAAU